rnacentral:ncRNA from 2 species
UUUAACGAAUAUGACGAAGGCGUAAAUUAAAUGGGAAUCUGGUGUGAUACCAGAACUGUACCCGCAACUGUAAACAAGCCACGUGUCGAGGAUAAUCGCUCGAGUGCUUGUAAGUCAGAUACCAGCCUUAUUCACCCUUUAAUU